rnacentral:siRNA from 1 species
GGUGCGUUGUUGAGAUCGCCUCUC